rnacentral:ncRNA from 1 species
UAAAGGUUUAAUCCUGACCUUACAAUCAGCUAUUUCUCGACUUACACAUGCAAGUCUCAGCACGCCCGUGAGAACGCCCUUUAACCUUUACCAGACCAAGGAGCCGGCAUCAGACGCAAUCCAGUCCAUAACGCCUAGUUUCACCACGCCCCCAAGGGUAGUCAGCAGUGAUAAAUCUUGAGCAUUAGCGACAGCUUGACUCAGCCAGAGAAAAGAGGGCCGGCUAAUCCGGUGCCAGCCGCCGCGGCUACCCCGUGGGACCCAAGUUGAUCGUUGUCGGCGUUAAGCGUGAUUAGAGUCCACCUAGAUUAGGAUUAAAUUAAUAUUUAGUAGUGUAAAGCUUAUUAUUAAGAAGAUCACAAACGAAAGUUAUCCUAACCAACAUACUUGAAUACACGACAGCUGGGAAACAAACUAGGAUCAGAUACCCUACUAUGCCCAACCGUAAACAAUUAACUUACACCUAUAAGCGCCGGGGAAUUACGAGCUACGCUUAAAACCCAAAGGAUUUGACGGUGUCCCACCCACCUAGAGGAGCCUGUUCUACAAUCGAUAAUACCCGCUAUACCUAACCCCCUCUUGCUAUUUCAGUCUGUAUACCUCCGUCGAAAGCUUACCAUGUGAACGUUUAUAGUAAGUACAACAGCCCCUCAACGGCAACACGUCAGGUCAAGGUGCAACUUAAGUGGGGGAAGCAAUUGGCUACAAUUUCUAGUCUAGAACAAACGAAAAACUAUGUGAAAUCAUGGUUGUGAAGGCGGAUUUAGUAGUAAAAAGAAAAUAGAGUGUUCUUUUUAACCCGGCUCUGGGACGCGUACACACCGCCCGUCACUCUCUUCGAUAGUAAUAUAAACAUAGUUCAUAACCAAUUUAUACGUUUUAGAAGAGGGAAGUCGUAACAUGGUAAGUGUACUGGAAAGUGCACUUGGAAUAAA